rnacentral:rRNA from 2 species
GGUCAAGUGAAGAAGCGCAUACGGUGGAUGCCUUGGCAGUCAGAGGCGAUGAAAGACGUGGUAGCCUGCGAAAAGCUUCGGGGAGUCGGCAAACAGACUGUGAUCCGGAGAUGUCUGAAUGGGGGAACCCAGCCAUCAUAAGAUGGUUAUCUUGUACUGAAUACAUAGGUGCAAGAGGCGAACCAGGGGAACUGAAACAUCUAAGUACCCUGAGGAAAAGAAAUCAACCGAGAUUCCCUUAGUAGUGGCGAGCGAACGGGGACCAGCCCUUAAGUUGUAUUGAGAUUAGCGGAACGUUCUGGAAAGGACGGCCAUAGUGGGUGAUAGCCCUGUACGCGAAAAUCCCUUUGCAAUGAAAUCGAGUAGGACGGGGCACGAGAAACCUUGUCUGAAUAUGGGGGGACCAUCCUCCAAGGCUAAAUACUACUGACUGACCGAUAGUGAACCAGUACCGUGAGGGAAAGGCGAAAAGAACCGCGGAGAGCGGAGUGAAAUAGAUCCUGAAACCGUAUGCGUACAAGCAGUGGGAGCCCACUUUGUUGGGUGACUGCGUACCUUUUGUAUAAUGGGUCAGCGACUUAUUUUCAGUGGCGAGCUUAACCGAAUAGGGGAGGCGUAGCGAAAGCGAGUCUUAAUAGGGCGUCUAGUCGCUGGGAAUAGACCCGAAACCGGGCGAUCUAUCCAUGGGCAGGUUGAAGGUUGGGUAACACUAACUGGAGGACCGAACCGACUACCGUUGAAAAGUUAGCGGAUGACCUGUGGAUCGGAGUGAAAGGCUAAUCAAGCUCGGAGAUAGCUGGUUCUCCUCGAAAGCUAUUUAGGUAGCGCCUCAUGUAUCACUGUAGGGGGUAGAGCACUGUUUCGGCUAGGGGGUCAUCCCGACUUACCAAACCGAUGCAAACUCCGAAUACCUACAAGUGCCGAGCAUGGGAGACACACGGCGGGUGCUAACGUCCGUCGUGAAAAGGGAAACAACCCAGACCGUCAGCUAAGGUCCCAAAGUCAUGGUUAAGUGGGAAACGAUGUGGGAAGGCUUAGACAGCUAGGAGGUUGGCUUAGAAGCAGCCACCCUUUAAAGAAAGCGUAAUAGCUCACUAGUCGAGUCGGCCUGCGCGGAAGAUGUAACGGGGCUCAAACCAUGCACCGAAGCUACGGGUAUCAUCUUAGGAUGAUGCGGUAGAGGAGCGUUCUGUAAGCCUGUGAAGGUGAGUUGAGAAGCUUGCUGGAGGUAUCAGAAGUGCGAAUGCUGACAUGAGUAACGACAAUGGGUGUGAAAAACACCCACGCCGAAAGACCAAGGUUUCCUGCGCAACGUUAAUCGACGCAGGGUUAGUCGGUCCCUAAGGCGAGGCUGAAAAGCGUAGUCGAUGGAAAACAGGUUAAUAUUCCUGUACUUCUGGUUAUUGCGAUGGAGGGACGGAGAAGGCUAGGCCAGCCUGGCGUUGGUUGUCCAGGUUUAAGGUGGUAGGCUGAGAUCUUAGGUAAAUCCGGGAUCUUAAGGCCGAGAGCUGAUGACGAGUGUUCUUUUAGAACACGAAGUGGUUGAUGCCAUGCUUCCAAGAAAAGCUUCUAAGCUUCAGGUAACCAGGAACCGUACCCCAAACCGACACAGGUGGUUGGGUAGAGAAUACCAAGGCGCUUGAGAGAACUCGGGUGAAGGAACUAGGCAAAAUGGCACCGUAACUUCGGGAGAAGGUGCGCCGGUGGAGGUGAAGCAUUUACUGCGUAAGCCCCUGCCGGUCGAAGAUACCAGGCCGCUGCGACUGUUUAUUAAAAACACAGCACUCUGCAAACACGAAAGUGGACGUAUAGGGUGUGACGCCUGCCCGGUGCCGGAAGGUUAAUUGAUGGGGUUAGCGCAAGCGAAGCUCUUGAUCGAAGCCCCGGUAAACGGCGGCCGUAACUAUAACGGUCCUAAGGUAGCGAAAUUCCUUGUCGGGUAAGUUCCGACCUGCACGAAUGGCGUAACGAUGGCGGCGCUGUCUCCACCCGAGACUCAGUGAAAUUGAAAUCGCUGUGAAGAUGCAGUGUAUCCGCGGCUAGACGGAAAGACCCCGUGAACCUUUACUAUAGCUUUGCACUGGACUUUGAAUUUGCUUGUGUAGGAUAGGUGGGAGGCUUUGAAGCGUGGACGCCAGUCUGCGUGGAGCCAACCUUGAAAUACCACCCUGGCAACUUUGAGGUUCUAACUCAGGUCCGUUAUCCGGAUCGAGGACAGUGUAUGGUGGGUAGUUUGACUGGGGCGGUCUCCUCCUAAAGAGUAACGGAGGAGUACGAAGGUGCGCUCAGACCGGUCGGAAAUCGGUCGUAGAGUAUAAAGGCAAAAGCGCGCUUGACUGCGAGACAGACACGUCGAGCAGGUACGAAAGUAGGUCUUAGUGAUCCGGUGGUUCUGUAUGGAAGGGCCAUCGCUCAACGGAUAAAAGGUACUCCGGGGAUAACAGGCUGAUACCGCCCAAGAGUUCAUAUCGACGGCGGUGUUUGGCACCUCGAUGUCGGCUCAUCACAUCCUGGGGCUGAAGCCGGUCCCAAGGGUAUGGCUGUUCGCCAUUUAAAGUGGUACGCGAGCUGGGUUUAGAACGUCGUGAGACAGUUCGGUCCCUAUCUGCCGUGGACGUUUGAGAUUUGAGAGGGGCUGCUCCUAGUACGAGAGGACCGGAGUGGACGAACCUCUGGUGUUCCGGUUGUCACGCCAGUGGCAUUGCCGGGUAGCUAUGUUCGGAAAAGAUAACCGCUGAAAGCAUCUAAGCGGGAAACUUGCCUCAAGAUGAGAUCUCACUGGAACCUUGAGUUCCCUAAAGGGCCGUCGAAGACUACGACGUUGAUAGGUUGGGUGUGUAAGCGCUGUGAGGCGUUGAGCUAACCAAUACUAAUUGCCCGUGAGGCUUGACCAUAUAACACCCA